rnacentral:rRNA from 1 species
UUCUAAUAGAACUAAUUAUUAGUAAAGUCUGCUCAAUGAUAUUUAUAUAGCCGCAAUAUAUUUGUGCUAAGGUAGCAUAAUCAUUUGUCUUUUAAUUAAAGACUAGAACGAAAGAUAUUACAUUUAAGUUUCUCUUUAAAAUAAAAAUUUUUAAAUUAUUCUAAAUAUAAAAAAAUAUUUAUUCUUUAAAUAGACGAUAAGACCCUAUUGAACUUUACAUUUGUUUAACUGGGGUAGUUAAUUAAAUAUAAUUUUAAUUUAAAUUAAAAUUUACUUUCCCAAUAAAAUUGAUUCCAUCAAGUUACCAUAGGGAUAACAGCGUAAUAUUUUUUUAAAGACCUUAUUUAAAAAAUUAAUUACGACCUCGAUGUUGAAUAAUUACCUUUAAUUAUGCAAUAAUAUUACAAAGGAAGUCUGUUCGACUUUUAAUUAAUUACA